rnacentral:tRNA from 1 species
GACGAUGUCAUGCUAAUCCGCUAAAUUAGUAACCCGACUGUAAUAUGCCGGCAUCCUC